GGAAAAUCUCUGUACCUUCCUCACAACUUGUUGUAAACCUAAAGCUACUCUAAAAUUAUAAAGUCUUUUUAAAACAAAAUAACAGCCUCUUCA